ensembl:lncRNA
AUGUGAUUAUAGUGAGUGUGUGUUAGUGUGUGAUUAUAGUGAGUGUGUGUUAGUGUGUGAUUAUAGUGAGUGUGUGUUAGUGUGUGAUUAUAGUGAGUGUGUGUUAGUGUGUGAUUAUAGUGAGUGUGUGUUAGUGUGUGAUUAUAGUGAGUGUGUGUUAGUGUGUGUGAUUUAGUGAGUGUGUUAGUGUGUGAUUAUAGUGAGUGUGUGUUAGUGUGUGAUUGUAGUGAGUGUGUGUUAGUGUGUGAUUAUAGUGAGUGUUGUGUUAGUGUGUGAUUAUACUGAGUGUGUGUUAGUGUGUGAUUGUAGUGAGUGUGUGUUAGUGUGUGAUUAUAGUGAGUGUGUGUUAGUGUGUGAUUAUAGUGAGUGUGUGUUAGUGUGUGAUUAUAGUGAGUGUGUUAGUGUGUGAUUAUAGUGAGUGUGUGUUAGUGUGUGAUUAUAAUGAGUGUGU